rnacentral:rRNA from 1 species
AUUGAACGCUGGCGGCAUGCCUUCCACAUGCAAGUCGAACGGCAGCACGGGGGCAACCCUGGUGGCGAGUGGCGAACGGGUGAGUAUUGCAUCGGAAUGUACCCAGUAGUGGGGGAUAACUAGUCGACAGACUAGCUAAUACCGCAUACGCACUUCGGUGGAAAGCGGGGGAUCGCAAGACCUCGCGCUAUUGCAACAGCCGAUGACCGAUGAGGCAGUUGGUGGGGUAAUGGCCUACCAAGCCCGCGAUCGGUAACUGGUCUGAUAGGACGCCCAGUCACACUGGGACUGAGACACGGCCCAGACUCCUACGGGAGGCAGCAGUGGGGAAUGUUGGACAAUGGGCGCAAGCCUGAUCCAGCAAUGCCGCGUGUGUGAAGAAGGCCUUCGGGUUGUAAAGCACUUUUGGCAGGAAAGAAAUAGUGCGUGCUAAUACCAUGCGCGAAUGACGGUACCUGCAGAAUAAGCACCGGCUAACUACGUGCCAGCAGCCGCCGUAAAAC